rnacentral:lncRNA from 1 species
ACGAAACAGGGAGGGACCUACCUGAAUUUGUCCAAUAGAAACCCUCGUUUUUUUUUUUUGCUCAGUUUGGUUCUUAAACGGUACAACGGUACACGUAACGAAUACGCCCCGGUCACCGUUAUUUAUCAUUUGACAGUCGGUUCCCGAUCUUCUUGUUGGUGAAACUGACCUGAGUAAAGAUGAACCGAGCAGGCCAACCGUUGUUCAUGAAGACCUACGGCAAACAGAAACGGAAGUUGGAGGCCUGGAUCUCCCCUGACAACCGAAAACAGGAAGUCAUUGUUGAGGCGUACUGGUAGAAAGGCCCAGCGUAUCGUGAGCACCAGUGAGAGUGAUGAAGAGUCAACGACCACCAGCCAACCCAACCCUAAACGCUCCACAGCUAGAGACAAGACACACACACAUCCGACUCCAGGGAAGUUUGUGACGCAUCGUAGGGGAGCAACAACCGCCAAACACAAAGCCCCCAAGAGGAAACUCAGAGUCCUGCUGGCCCAGCUCAGCUCAAACUCCUCUGAUGACUUCGUCCAUGAUGGAAGAGAAGAAGGGGGAGUGGUCCAGCGUGCCUUCCCUUGCCGUGCCAAAC